GGCGCCCGCCAGCGCUAGCUGAGGGAGAAACAGACUGAGAGGAUGGUUCCCGCCCAGGGUAGAGGCAGCCGCAAGCUGAGGACUGGGUCCGAAUUCCCUGGAGGGAGGCCAAGGCUCAGAGAAGAGACCUUGGCUAGUGAGUGGCAGAGGCUCCAGAAGUUGCUGCUAAAUUCCAUAUCUGCUGAUUCCUGCCUGGUGCUGUGUGAUUUUUAUACAAGUUUGAGCCUGGCAUUCGAAGCACUCUGGAGUCAGUCUCCAGCUUACUACCUACCGGAUCCUCAGAUCUCCAGGAUGAGGUGGUAAUAAUUCAUGGGGAUGAAGAACCCAGACUUUGUGGCAGACAGCCCUGGGUUCAAUCCCAGGCACUGUCACUUCACUAGCUGUGUGACCCCAGGCAAGUUCUGUAAACUCUCUGAGCUCGGGUUUCCUUAUCCCUAGUGACACUCACUUCAUAAGAUUGUGGGGGAAUCUCAUGAGAUACCACAUGUAAAGCUCUCAGCACCCAGCCUAGUUCCUUAGGCACUUAAGAAACAGCAGCUGUGGUUACAUCUCUGGCCUUAUCUCUAGUACACAGACCCCUUUACUCCAGUCUAUGCAUUUCACUGGACUUUCAUGGCCCAGCCUAUUUAUUUACUUAUUUAUUUAUUUUUGGCGCACCCACGGCAUAUUGAAGUUUCCUGGCAAGAGAUCAAACCCGCGCCACAGUGCCAAUGCAGGAUCCUUAAUUCACUGAGCCACGAGGGAGCUCCCAGUUAAUUUUUUUGAUAUUACUUUUUUAUUUUACUUUUUAUUUUACUUUUUUGAUAUUACUUUUUUAUUUUACUUUUUUUGAUAUUACUAUUUUAUUUUAUUCCUUAGCCAUUAAAAUCAUUCAAGCAUGUAUUUUUCUACAUAACUUAUUGCGAGCUGAUCAAUGAAUGUUAAAUAAAAUGUUAAUUUUCAUCAUUUGCUUCAAUGCAUGUCUUCUUGACCAAGUCUUCAUUUUUUAUUCCAUAAUAUUUUAUGCCUCACCUUUCAGGCAAUAAAGAAUUUUUAUUUUUUUUAAAUAAUUUUUUUUUUUUUGGUAUUUUUAGGGCUGCACUUGUAGCAUAUGGAAGUUCCUAGGCUAGGGGUGGAAUCGGAGCUGUAGCUACCAGCCUAGCCAUAGCCAAAGCAAAGCCAGAUCCCAACCACAUUUGCAACAUACAUUGUUUGAGACCUACACCACAGCUUAUGGCAAUGCCGGAUCCUCAACCCACCGAAUGAGGCCGGGGAUCGAACCCGCGUCCUCUUGGAUACUAGUCAGGUUUGUUACCACUGAGCCACAAUGGGAACUCCAAUGAGGAAAUUUUAAACACCACAGCUAAGAACCUGAACAUUCAUCUGCAAGUACCCAUACGCUUCUUACAUGCAGUUGUGCUCUUAGUGGUUUUCUUACAGCCAUCUUUGAUGAUAAGUUUUGGGAAAACAUUUGUCAUGACAAUCUUCAUUCGCCUUCAACUUUAUAGGCUCUUUUGCACCUUGAAGAGCCUGGUGACAGGCCCCUAGGCACUGCUGCCCCAUCCAUACGGCUGACGGGUGCCUUCUUUCCUCAGCAGCCACACUGGAAAAAGCUUCAUGACCUAGUUUAAAUGUCACCUUCUCCAGGAAGCCUUCCCCGCCUGCCUCCCCUCUCAUGGUCAGAGUGCCUCUUUCCCUCUUGGGACCUUUCCUGUGUUCUACCUCAACAAACGAAGCUUUGUUUUCAUGUCAUGUUUAUCUGUUAGGUAAGUUCCAUCAAGGGACCAGGUGGUAUUUCUCCAUGCCCCUCAGCAUCCAGAGCCUGGCUUGGCAUGCAGAAGAUGGCUAACAAAUAUUGAUUAAAUGAUUCACUCAUCUUCCCAGCAAAAACUGGCAGAAAUGAAUGAGAUCUGAAGUCAGAGACUCAGCAGGCCCAGCUUCAAGCCCCACUCUCCACCCUUCCAGCUGAGCGCCCUUGGACAGGCUACUGCUCCACCUCUCAAUGUCCCGUUUCCUCAAUCAUCAAAUAUUGAUAAUGCUUCUGCUUGGCUAAUGUCACAGGACUUCAGGGAUAUUAUUAAAAUGAUGUUGGUGGAGUUCCUGUCGUGGCUCGGAGGUAACAAACUCAACUAGUAUCCAUGGGGACUCAGAUUCCAUCCCUGGCCUUGCUCAGUGGUUAAGGGUCCAGCAUUGCCAUGAGCUGUGGUGUAGGCUGCAGCUGUGUCUCGAAUCUCGUGUUGCUGUGGCUGUGGUGUAGGCUGGCAGCUGCAGCUCCAAUUCAGCCCCUAGGCUGGGAACCUCCAUAUGCCCUGGUCCAGCCCUAAAAAAAAAAAAAAAAAGAUGGAGAUGAUGACCAUUAAUAUUUCUGUAACCUACUAUGUGCCAAGCUCCUCUGAUCCUCAUGACACCCUCUGAAACGGGCACUAUUAUUAUCCCCAUUUUACAGAUGAGGGAACCUGGAAGGAAUUGUGGCAGAGCAGGUUUGGGAAAGGAGCAGGGCCCCAGGGCCAGGAAGGGAAAUGGGGGUGGCAGGGUGGGGCUGAGAGGAACGAAGGGAGCCAGCAAGGGGGCUGAGAGCCAGCUCUCUGUGGUUGAGUUUCGGGCAGCUGGGGCUGGCUUUAGAGUUUCACUGCCUGGGAACUGACUAAUUCUUGUAAGAGGUGUGGGACACAGAUCUGCAGUCUGUCACCCUGAAUUUGAAUUCCUGCCCCAUUCCUUCCUUAGCGUCGUGCUCUUAGGUUGCUGGACCUCUCUGAGCCUCAACUUACUCAUCUUUGAAAUGGGAAUGGCAAAAGUGACCUUUCCACUUACAAUGAGGAGUCAUUAAGGUGUUGGAUAGGGAGUCCUCUGAGGAGUGCAUAAUAGGUAUUUAAUAUAUUUUCACUGAUGGCGUUCCCUUCGUGGCUCAGUGGCUAACGAACCCAACUAGGAUCCAUGAGGAUGCGGGUUUGAUCCCUGGCCUCCCUCAGUGGGUUAAGGAUCCGGAGUUGCCGUGGGCUGUGGUGUAGGUCACAGACAUGGCUCCAAUCUGGCAUUUCUGUAGCUGUGGUGUAGGCAGGCAGCUGCCCCUUCAAUUCGACCCCUAGCCUGGGAACUCUCAUAUGCUGUGGAUGCAGCCAUAAAAAGCAAAAAUAUAUAUAUAAAUAUAUUUUUCCACUGAGAUUUUUGCCUUUUUUUUUUUUUUUUUUUUGUCUUUUUGCCAUUUCUCAAGCCGCUCCCACGGCAUAUGGAGGUUCUCAGGCUAGGGGUCGAAUCGGAGUUGUAGCCACCAGCCUACACCAGAGCCACAGCAACGCGGGAUCGGAGCCGUGUCUGCAAACUACACCACAGCUCAUGGCAACGCCGGUUCCUUAACCCACCGAGCAAGGCCAGGGAUAGAACACGAAACCUCAUGGUUCCUAGUUGGAUUCAUUAACCACUGAACCACGAUGGGAACUCCUGCAAUUUUCUUUCUUUCUUUUUUGUCUUUUUUGUCUUUUUUUUUUUAGGGCCACACCUGUGACAUAUGUAAGUUCCCAGGCUAGGGGUUGAAUCAGAGCUGUAGCGGCCUGUCUACAUCACAGCCACAGCAACGCCAGAUGCGAGCCACACCUGUGACCUACACUGCAGCUUGGGGCAAUGACACUGAGCAGGGUAACCCACUGAGCAGGGCCAGGGAUUGAACCUGCAAUCUCAUGGAAACUAGAGGGGUUCCUUUCCACUGAGCCAUUCAUGCCCUAUACUCUUCUGUUUCCCAGGCUUGGCUUACAUGGCUCCAUAUCCACAAGGCCCCCUUCCUUCCUUCCAUCCCCAUGUGACAAGUCUUUUUUUUUUUUAAUUUUUUUUUUUUUUUUUUUGUCUUUUUGGGGCCACACCCACGGCAUAUGGAGGUUCCCAGGCUAAGGGUCCAAUCAGAGCUCUAGCCGCUGGCCUAUGCCACAGGUACAUCAACUCCGGAUCCAAGGCGUGCCUGCGACCUACACCACAUCUCACAGCAAUGCCAGAUCCUUAACCCACUGAUCAAGGCCAGGGAUCAAAACUGCGUUCUCAUGGAUACUAGUCAGAUUUGUUCUGCCGAGCCACAACAGGAACUCCUCCAUGUGACAAAUCUUACCCAUCCUUCAAGGCCCAACUCAAAUGGCAGAAUGGCAGGAGUAGCGUCGAAAGUCAGACCUCCAAUAAAACUUCAAACCCUUUGGGAGCAGGACCCAUGCUUUGUUUUCACCUUCAUGCCCUCCUCUCCGAGAAGGCCAGGGACACAGUAGGCCCGCAGUAAGUGAUGAUGGAGAUAAGAGCUUACAUUUCCUGAGCGCUUCCUCAGUGUAAAGCACCAGCCUGGCAUUUACCUGCAUUCGUUAUAUUGAAACCUCCCAACUGGCCUACAACGUAGGUACAUUGAGGAAACUGAGUCUCAGAUAUGUAAGGGACUUCACCAAGGGCUGGCUAAAGAUGAAACCAGAAUCUGCACUCAGAUCUCUGAGCUAUUUUGGACAUAGAACUCAGCCCCAGAACCAAUCCCAUUGAAGGAGGGUAUGGUAUGUUCUGCCAGUGAAGCAGAGGUUCCAGUGCUGCAGACAUUGUUGGGGCUGGGAAGAGUGUGCCCACAGCUGGAUAUGUUAGGGGUGCUUUGUCCCAUUUUCCAGAUGAGGAAGCUGAGGCAUGAGGGACGUUAAUUGAAGCUGCACAGCUGGUAAGGGAGGGAGCCCCCGUUCUAGACAGACCCCAAUGCCCUGGAAAAGCCCCCAAACCAAAGCAAACUUGCAUCCCAGCUGGUGUACCUUGUGCCUGGUGUAUCUGCUAAAAAUGCCUCUGAUUCCCUCGAUUCAAAGUCCUACUUAUUAAAUACAAAAUGCUUGAUAGUAGCUUCCUGAAAGCACAGACCUCUUGUUUUGGGGCUCCCCACUGUGGUGUCCGUUCACAAAAAUUCAAAAUAAGACGGAGCUGUGGGAGGAAGAGAGGAAAAUGUCUGCUCCAUCGUCUUUGUGCUUCUCUGUACAGUCUUUUCCAACCUUUUUUUUUUUUUUUUUUUUUUUUUUUUUGUCUUUUUGUCUUUUCUUGAGCCGCUCCUGUGGCAUAUGGAGCUUCCCAGGCUAGGGGUCUAAUUGGAGCUGUAGCUACCGGCCUCCGCCAUAGCCACAGCAACGUGGGAUCUGAGCCGCAUCUGUGACCUACACCACAGCUCACGGCAACACCAUAUCCUUAACCCACUGAGCAAGGCCAGGGAUCAAACCCGCACCCUUGAGGUUCCUAGUCGGAUUCGUUAACCACUGCGCCAUGACGGGAACUCCUUUUCCAACCAUUCUAAAGUAAGCAUGUAUUGGAGUUCCCAUUGUGGCUCAAUGGUAAUGAAGCCAAAUAGUAUCCAUGAGGAUAUAGGUUUGAUCCCUGGCAUCCACCAUUGCUGUGAGCUGUGGUGUAGGUUGCAGACAUGGUUCGGAUCCUACAUUGCUGUGGCUGUGGUAUAAGCUGGAAGCUGCAGCUCCAAUUCAACCUCUAGCCUGGAAACUAUACGCCGCAGGUGUGGCCCUAAAAAGUAAAAA
rnacentral:lncRNA from 1 species